UGCUCCUCCCCACCUGAUGGUGGGGUGGGAAAUGCUUUUUGCUGCAUGGGAUGGGGUCCCGUCCUAUCAGCUUGUUGGCGGGGUGAUGGCCCACCAAUGCAUUGACAGGUAGCCUGACUGAGAGAGUGACCGGCCUCAUUGUGACUGACAUACCGCACACACUCCUACGGGAGGCAUCAGUGAGAAAUAUUGCACAAUGGGCGCAUGCCUGAUGCACCCACCCCGCGUGAGGGAUGGAUGCCUUCUGGUUGUAAACCUUUUUUGUUAAAAGGCAAUGCACGGCUUCUGGCCGUGUUGAGUGGAUUGUUCGAAUAAACACCGGCUAACUACCUGCCAUCAGCCGCGGUAAUACGUAAGGUGCAAUCGUUAUCCGGAUUUAUUGCGCAUAAAGGGCUCCUAGGCGGUUCUUCACGUCCGGUGUGAAAGUCCAUCUCCUAACCGUGGAUCUGCGCCGGGUACGGGCGGGCUGGAGUGCGGUAGGGGAGACUGGAAUUCCCGGUGUAACGAUGGAAUGUGUAGAUAUCUGGAAGAACACCAAUGGCGAAGGCAGGUCUCUGGGCCGUUACUGACGCUGAGGAGCGAAAGCGUGGGGAGCGAACAGGAUUAGAUACCCUGGUAGUCCACGCCGUAAACGGUGGAUGCUGGAUGUGGGGCCCUUUCCACGGGUCCUGUGUCGGAGCCAACGCGUUAAGCAUCCCGCCUGGGGAGUACGGCCGCAAGGCUAAAACUCAAAGAAAUUGACGGGGGCCCGCACAAGCGGCGGAGCAUGCGGAUUAAUUCGAUGCAACGCGAAGAACCUUACCUGGGCUUGACAUGUGCCGGAUCGCCCCGGAAACGGGGUUUCCCUUCGGGGCCGGUUCACAGGUGGUGCAUGGUCGUCGUCAGCUCGUGUCGUGAGAUGUUGGGUUAAGUCCCGCAACGAGCGCAACCCUCGCCGCAUGUUGCCAGCGGGUUAUGCCGGGAACUCAUGUGGGACCGCCGGGGUCAACUCGGAGGAAGGUGGGGAUGACGUCAGAUCAUCAUGCCCCUUACGUCCAGGGCUUCACGCAUGCUACAAUGGCCGGUACAACGCGAUGCGACACGGUGACGUGGGGCGGAUCGCUGAAAACCGGUCUCAGUUCGGAUCGCAGUCUGCAACUCGACUGCGUGAAGGCGGAGUCGCUAGUAAUCGCGGAUCAGCAACGC
rnacentral:rRNA from 1 species